UCAAACAUUUGGUUCGAAUAUAUCUGCGGUUUACGCAGAGCCGUCGGCUUCAGCUAUGACGGCAAUAUAUCGAAGCCUUAGCUUGUUGGUUUUUAUUUUGUUAGGUCUCGAACAGAAUCAACAGCCAACAAUCCAACGCUGUUGAUUCAUCACCGUUUUUCUUCCCCUGCAAACAGUUUGCCCGGUAGCCAGACGUUUGGGAUGCAAGCCAACCGACAACGCAAAUAGCUCAGGUAGGACCGUCCGGAAAUCCACGGUUUUACACCGGUGGCCAAGUGUAUAAAGUCACUGUGCGAUUGACUGAAGAUUUCGAUUCAGCGCUUAUCAAGGGAGUCUAUUCUACUACGAGUGGCUCGGCCGGCAAACAAUACCGGCAGCGGAAAAUGUGC